CUAAGACUGGCAUGGGCAGAGUUACACCUUCCAGGUGAACCAUUCUUCUCUGGUCUUUCCAGGUGGUCUGAUCAACCUCAGGAAGGUAAUUUGAUGAGGCAGAAAAUCUGGAGAGUUGCCAGACUUUAGAUGCCACUUUGACCUUUCCUGAUCUUAAUACUCUCUGUCCCACUGAAGGAGGAUGAGGCUAAAUUUAUUGAUCAAGUUACCAUUUUCCUAGGACAUGGCACUGGCUCCCUCUGCUGCCCUUGACUGACUGGUUCAAGCUGACUCUAGAACACCCCUGUAAAGAACAGUAAUCGGGCCUGUUUGUCCACAGUUUAGAAUGCAAAGGGCAUUUGUUCCAGGCACAGAUGGUGCUUAUAAAAAGCCACAUGCUGUCGUGAAUAACUCCAGGUGGGAGGUCCAUGUCUUUUGGACUCACAGUCUUCUUUUCCAGGAGCAAGACUAUUCAACAAGCCUAGAACCCUCUCCUCUUUGACACCUACAGAC